GCAAGUCUGGUGCCAGCAGCCGCGGUAAUUCCAGCUCCAAUAGCGUAUAUUAAAGUUGUUGCAGUUAAAAAGCUCGUAGUUGAAUUUCGAGAUCAGUACGCUGGUCGUGCCUUCGGUAUGUACUGGUGUCACUGGUUUCUCCCUUCUGAAGAACCGUUAUGUCAUUAAGUUGGUGUGGCGGGGAAUCAGGACUGUUACUUUGAAAAAAUUAGAGUGUUUAAAGCAGGCUCGCGCUUGAAUACAUUAGCAUGGAAUAAUGAAAUAGGACGUUUGACCCUAUUUUGUUGGUUUCUAGGAUCGACGUAAUGAUUAAUAGGGAUAGUUGGGGGCAUUAGUAUUCAAUUGUCAGAGGUGAAAUUCUUGGAUUUAUUGAAGACUAACUACUGCGAAAGCAUUUGCCAAGGAUGUUUUCAUUAAUCAAGAACGAAAGUUAGGGGAUCGAAGACGAUCAGAUACCGUCGUAGUCUUAACCAUAAACUAUGCCGACUAGGGAUCGGAUGACGUUAAUUUUUUAAUGACUCAUUCGGCGCCUUACGGGAAAC
rnacentral:rRNA from 1 species